rnacentral:rRNA from 1 species
AGGAUGAACGCUGGCGGCGUGCUUAACACAUGCAAGUCGAACGGUGAAAGAGGAGCUUGCUCCUCUGGAUCAGUGGCGAACGGGUGAGUAACACGUGAGUAACCUGCCCUUGACUCUGGGAUAAGCACUGGAAACGGUGUCUAAUACCGGAUACGACCUCCGAAGGCAUCUUCUGGAGGUGGAAAGAAUUUCGGUCAAGGAUGGACUCGCGGCCUAUCAGCUAGUUGGUGAGGUAAUGGCCCACCAAGGCGACGACGGGUAGCCGGCCUGAGAGGGUGACCGGCCACACUGGGACUGAGACACGGCCCAGACUCCUACGGGAGGCAGCAGUGGGGAAUAUUGCACAAUGGGCGCAAGCCUGAUGCAGCAACGCCGCGUGAGGGACGACGGCCUUCGGGUUGUAAACCUCUUUAGUAGGGAAGAAGCGAAAGUGACGGUACCUGCAGAAAAGCACCGGCUAACUACGCGCCAGCAGCCGCGGU